GAUAUUAUUUUCUAAACUAGAAGAAGACUCUCUUUUAUUUAUUUUAGCCCAAAAAUUAAUUAAAUUCGAAAAUGGGCCUCACACCCAAAAUGUAAUGCAGCCCCAAAAUUAAUAUGAAGGAGGUUGGGCUCGAAUUAAUUGCAUAGCCUAAUGCUAGUUAUAUUAAUGGCCCAAAACCAUUUAAUUCAUUAGCCCAAGACUUAAGCCCAAAUUAAAGAAACCAUAUGUUAAAGACCUAAGUCUUCUUCUUCCUCAUUUCACAAAUACGCAGCAGCUUCUCUUCUCCAGCCUCACCGCCGCCUCCCGCCGUCGCCAUCCUCAGCACCACCGUCUGCCGACGUCUCCUCCCUCUUCUCUCUCUCUCUCCUCUCUUCCUCUCUUCUCCCCCCCUCUCUCUGACUCACGGCUAUGCUCACGCCGCCGCCGAUUCGUCGUCAUCGUCCAGCCACUGCAGCCGCUGCUCCGUCGCCGCCGGAAGACGCUGCUGUCGCCACCGGAAGCCGCGACGCCGCUGCUGUCGCCGUCCGUCGUUGCCGCGCAGUCACCUCGCCAGGAAGACGCUGCUCGCCGGUGGUCGUGCAGCCCCGAAUAUCACCGCAACUAACCGAACAGCCCCGCACCACCCCGAAAUUCUCGAUUUCUGACUUGCCGAUAAGUUCUUACUUGUUUUGGUGAAGUAUAAUCGGUUCAAGUUUGUGGCCGUCCAUGUUGAAGUACCCGCUUCCAUACGAUGUAUAAAUUAAAUUUUGUUGGACUUUUGUUGGAUGUAUCGGACAUUAAAAUUUUUAUUUGGUGUUA